rnacentral:rRNA from 1 species
UACGAAGGGUGCAAGCGUUAAUCGGAAUUACUGGGCGUAAAGGGUGCGUAGGCGGUUAGUUAAGUCUGUUGUGAAAUCCCCGGGCUCAACCUGGGAAUGGCAAUGGAUACUGGCUGGCUAGAGUGUGUCAGAGGAUGGUGGAAUUCCCGGUGUAGCGGUGAAAUGCGUAGAUAUCUGGAGGAAUACCGGUGGCGAAGGCGGCAUCCUGGACCGGCAUUGACGCUGAGGAGCGAAAGCUAGGGGAGCAAACGGG